rnacentral:rRNA from 1 species
CCUACGGGAUACAGCAGUGAGGCAUAUUGGUCAAUGGGCGAGAGCCUGAACCAGCCAAGUCGCGUGAGGGAGUACUGCCCUAUGGGUUGUAAACCUCUUUUGUCGGGGAGCAAAAGCCGGACGUGUCCGGCUGUGAGAGUACCCGAAGAAAAAGCAUCGGCUAACUCCGUGCCAGCAGCCGCGGUAAUACGGAGGAUGCGAGCGUUAUCCGGAUUUAUUGGGUUUAAAGGGUGCGCAGGCGGAUUUUUAAGUCAGCGGUAAAAUCGUGGGGCUCAACCCCAUCCAGCCGUUGAAACUGGGGAUCUAGAGUGUGCGAGAGGUAUGCGGAAUGCGUGGUGUAGCGGUGAAAUGCAUAGAUAUCACGCAGAACCCCGAUUGCGAAGGCAGCAUACCGGUGCACAACUGACGCUCAGGCACGAAAGCGUGGGUAUCGAACAGGAUUAGAUACCCUUGUAGUC